rnacentral:rRNA from 1 species
UCAGAUUGAACGCUGGCGGCAGGCCUAACACAUGCAAGUCGAGCGGAAACGGCAGUAUUGAAGCUUCGGUGGAUUUACUGGACGUCGAGCGGCGGACGGGUGAGUAACGGCUGGGAACCUGCCCUGACGAGGGGGAUAACCGUUGGAAACGACGGCUAAUACCGCAUAAUGUCUUGAUUCGUUAGAGUCAGGACCAAAGGUGGCCUCUACAUGUAAGCUAUCGCGUUGGGAUGGGCCCAGUUAGGAUUAGCUAGUUGGUAAGGUAAUGGCUUACCAAGGCAACGAUCCUUAGCUGGUUUGAGAGGAUGAUCAGCCACACUGGGACUGAGACACGGCCCAGACUCCUACGGGAGGCAGCAGUGGGGAAUAUUGCACAAUGGGGGAGACCCUGAUGCAGCCAUGCCGCGUGUGUGAAGAAGGCCUUCGGGUUGUAAAGCACUUUCAGCAGUGAGGAAGGUCGUGUACUUAAUACGUGCACGGCUUGACGUUAGCUGCAGAAGAAGCACCGGCUAACUCCGUGCCAGCAGCCGCGGUAAUACGGAGGGUGCGAGCGUUAAUCGGAAUUACUGGGCGUAAAGCGCAUGCAGGCGGUUUGUUAAGUCAGAUGUGAAAGCCCGGGGCUCAACCUCGGAACCGCAUUUGAAACUGGCAGGCUAGAGUCUUGUAGAGGGGGGUAGAAUUUCAGGUGUAGCGGUGAAAUGCGUAGAGAUCUGAAGGAAUACCAGUGGCGAAGGCGGCCCCCUGGACAAAGACUGACGCUCAGAUGCGAAAGCGUGGGUAGCAAACAGGAUUAGAUACCCUGGUAGUCCACGCCGUAAACGCUGUCUACUUGGAGGUUGAGGUUUUAGACUUUGGCUUUCGGCGCUAACGCAUUAAGUAGACCGCCUGGGGAGUACGGCCGCAAGGUUAAAACUCAAAUGAAUUGACGGGGGCCCGCACAAGCGGUGGAGCAUGUGGUUUAAUUCGAUGCAACGCGAAGAACCUUACCUACUCUUGACAUCCAGCGAAGCCUUUAGAGAUAGAGGUGUGCCUUCGGGAGCGCUGAGACAGGUGCUGCAUGGCUGUCGUCAGCUCGUGUUGUGAAAUGUUGGGUUAAGUCCCGCAACGAGCGCAACCCUUAUCCUUGUUUGCCAGCACAUAAUGGUGGGAACUCCAGGGAGACUGCCGGUGAUAAACCGGAGGAAGGUGGGGACGACGUCAAGUCAUCAUGGCCCUUACGAGUAGGGCUACACACGUGCUACAAUGGCAGAUACAGAGGGCAGCGAGACAGCGAUGUUUAGCGAAUCCCUUAAAGUUUGUCGUAGUCCGGAUUGGAGUCUGCAACUCGACUCCAUGAAGUCGGAAUCGCUAGUAAUCGUGGAUCAGAAUGCCACGGUGAAUACGUUCCCGGGCCUUGUACACACCGCCCGUCACACCAUGGGAGUGGGCUGCACCAGAAGUAGAUAGCUUACCNUUCGGGAGGGCGUUUACCACGGUGUGGUUCAUGACUGG